UAGGGGAAUCUUGGACAAUGGGGGCAACCCUGAUCCAGCCAUGCCGCGUGAGUGAUGAAGGCCUUAGGGUCGUAAAGCUCUUUCACCUGGGAUGAUAAUGACAGUACCAGGUCAAGAAACCCCGGCUAACUCCGUGCCAGCAGCCGCGGUAAUA
rnacentral:rRNA from 1 species